AUACGGAAGGUCCGGGCGUUAUCCGGAUUUAUUGGGUUUAAAGGGAGCGCAGGCGGAGAUGCAAGCGUGACGUCAAAUUUCGGGGCUCAACCCCGUCUCGCGUCGCGAACUGCGUCCCUUGGUUGCGGGAAGGGGAGGCGGAACUCGUGGUGUAGCGGGGGAAUGCAUAGAUAUCACGAAGAACUCCGAUCGCGAAGGCAGCCUUCCGGCCCGUCAACGACGCUCAUGCUCGAAGGUGCGGGUAUCAAACAGGAUUAGAUACCCUGGUAGUCCGCACAGUAAACGAUGGACACCCGCGGUUUGGCCUAUAUGGCUGAGCCGCCAAGCGAAAGCGUUAAGUGUCCCACCUGGGGAGUACGCCGGCAACGGUGAAACUCAAAGGAAUUGACGGGG
rnacentral:rRNA from 1 species